AUUUUAUUUCUUAUUGUUAUUACUCUUCAAAUUGCUCCUUUAACUUCAUUGACCAUGUGAGUCUUCCAUCACACAGGCCGUAGGUGGACAAUCAGUUCUUAUGGGGGUCUAGGCCUUUUGCACAAAACACUGUAUAUUUCUGAAAAAUGUAAAACAGAUGCCUUGCAGGCAAACACAGAAUACAUACUGCCACAGUAAACUGAUGAUUGUUUUCAAACCAUUGGUUUCGAUUUCCCUGCACAUAAAUAUGAUUCUCCAAGCCUCUUUGAGUUUGAUAGGAAGAAAAUCACAAGACUUUCAUUCAAGAACAGCUAAAAGUAUUUUUUUUUUAAGUAGCUCUUUAAAGGAAGGAGCACUUCAGAGAAUAAGGACAAACAGAGCUCAUUGCCAUAGCUAUGUCCUUAAAGCGCAUGCUCCUAGUGAAUGUAGUCUAAGAUAUCAUUCUCCUAGCUGGCUCUGAAGAAUGACUAACUGUCACCAGGUCUACAUUUGAAACAAAUGCUUGGUAUGUCCUGUUGAGUCACUGAAAAUAGAAAUCUGACCUGAUUAUGCUGUCUGUGAAUGGUUGCAUACUUUUCUAUCACAAUGAGUAGUUUUUUUCAUUUUAAGAUAUUGUGGUUUAGCCCCAGCAGGCAGCUGAGCACCACAGAGCUGCUUGCUCACUCCCCUGCGCUGGGAUGGUGAAGAGAACCAGAAGGGUAGACGUGAGGAAACUCCUGGGUUGUGAUAAAGACAAUUUAACAGGUAAAGCAAAAACUGCACCAACAAGCAAGGCAAAGCAAGGAAUUCGUUGACAACGUCUCAUCAGCAGGAGAUAUUCAGCUGUUUCUAGGAAAGCAGGGUCCAUCACAUACCCUGGAAAUGUUGUACUAGAUCGGUUGAUGGUACAGAUUGGAACCAAGUAAUCAAGGUCAAUCCAGAUACAAUGACAGUGUUGCUGAGAAUGUGAAAGCACCUACUGAAUUUGCCACUGUUGCUUACAGACUCAGAAUCAUCUCAGGUCUGGUGAUCUGAAAGAUCAUUGCUCAUCUUGUGUUCCUUCAUGGCAUUUGCUUCUGUCUACUUUGCUGGAGCAGCAUGUUCCCAGCGUUAAACCUGACAGAAAGGAAUUCAGAACUAGUUCAGCAGAGGGGUCCUGUUUCUGCAGCCUGCUGCUGAUGGACUGAAAAAUACAAGUUUUUGAAAGCUCCAUGUUGCAAUUUGUGUCUGCAGGCAAUACCAUCCCCAUUGUUCUACAGAGAUAAGAAUCUACAAAGCACCCUUCUGUGGGCACUUCAAUGAACUUGGAAGUAAUAAUAGCUUUUGAGAAGACACAUCUAUCAUGACUAUUUUGUACAUGUUUGACUGUCCAGACUGCAAAAAAUAUUGAAAGAACUGAAAGCACAACGGAAGAGCAAUAAAGCCUGAAUGUUGAUGGAAAUGGAGCACAAACACUUGACAUCUUUCUUCCUGAGAAAGUACAGUGCAUGGACAAACAUAUCAACCAGCAUCUUUGGUAUGGUUAGUGUAUGAAAUGCUUUUGUCUUGAAGAAUAUCUAAUAGUGAUCAAUUUUUACUUAGCCUCUUAUGCAUAAGAUGAACAAGGCAUAUACAGUCAGUGCUUUGCUGGUAGAUAGAUGGACUCUUCUUUCUGGUGACUUCAAAUAAUGGCACCUUGAGAUUUUAUUGACUGAACUUUGGAAUUCUCUGAACAUUAAAUCCCUUGUAAGUGUCACAAAAGGGACAUCUGAAAAUUAGGAUACCCCUGUCAGUGCGCAUUUUUAAUGUUCUGAAAUAAUGAAGAAGUUGCUCAGUUUAAAACCUGCCUUGGUUCCCAUUUAAAUCAAUGGUAAAAAUCUUGCUGAUUUAAAUAGGAACAACAACAACAAGAAAAUUGAUGUAUUUUUCAUUUGAGAUUUGCAAGCAGUUUUGCUUGUUCAGCAUUCUGAACUAUGCUCUACUUGAGUUAUGCUCAUAGGAAUUAUUUUUUAAAAUAGGAAAGUACAAAAUCCAAAGCUUUCUUUCAAGCCUUAGUCUGCAUAUUCCUGGGGAUUUUAAUGCUGCCUCUUUUUAGAAAGUUACAUGUAUAAAUCUGUAAGAAACUGAACAUUAAAAAAGUCAGGAUAUUUAUAUGUUGUCUGAUAUGAGACAGCUAUGCAUAUAUAGAAAAUGGAGACAUACCACAUUUGUUAUUUAUAAUUUAAGUCCUAUGAGCAAAUUUUCAGAGGAAACUCAUUAUUUCUUUGAAGAAAGGCUCAGCUGGCAUUGAAUCUCUAUUGGUUAUUAGGAUUAAGGAUAAAAUUAAAACAGUGAAUCCUCUUAUAAUAGGGCCAGAUCCUCAGAAAGUAUAAAUGAUAACAGCUCAAUGUAAGUAAAGCAGGCUAUGACGGUUUACAUCAGUUUUGGAUUUGACCUUCUCCCCAGAAAAUUAUUUCUCUGAAGAUCAUACUUCCUAUAUUUGUCUUACUUUGUGCCUGGCAGAGAAUUAAUUAACACAUAAUUGCUUUGGUUAACUCAGGAUAAAACUUCUCUGUUCAAGAACUUUAUUCAUUUACUGAUUAACUUGCUUCAUGGCUGAGUUAGUCCUGCAGGGUCAUGCUGUACUAAUGACCAGAGCACAGGAACAUUGUCAAGCCAAUGAGGACGAGGUAGGCUUGGCAGCAUUCCAGGUUCUGUUCAAUUAAUCACUGAAAUUUCAGGAGCUUUGGGGACAGAGUUGAAAAGUAAGUGGAAGAGAAAGUACAU